rnacentral:rRNA from 1 species
AUUGAACGCUGGCGGCAGGCCUAACACAUGCAAGUCGAGCGGAUGAAGGGAGCUUGCUCCUGGAUUCAGCGGCGGACGGGUGAGUAAUGCCUAGGAAUCUGCCUGGUAGUGGGGGAUAACGUCCGGAAACGGGCGCUAAUACCGCAUACGUCCUGAGGGAGAAAGUGGGGGAUCUUCGGACCUCUCGCUAUCAGAUGAGCCUAGGCCGGAUUAGCUAGUUGGUGGGGUAAAGGCCUACCAAGGCGACGAUCCGUAACUGGUCUGAGAGGAUGAUCGGUCACACUGGAACUGAGCCACGGUCCAGACUCCUACGGGAGGCAGCAGUGGGGAAUAUUGGACAAUGGGCGAAAGCCUGAUCCAGCCAUGCCGCGUGUGUGAAGAAGGUCUUCGGAUUGUAAAGCACGUUAAGUUGGGAGGAAGGGCAGUAAGUUAAUACCUUGCUGUUUUGACGUUACCAACAGAAUAAGCACCGGCUAACUUCGUG